AAAUGUGAAAGGAAAAAAACCCAGCACCUGCAAUUAAGAGGAUAGUCUAUAUGUAGAUUCUGCUGGCUGUUGCUGAUAACAAAAUCAAUGAACAUUAGUGUAACUUCAAUGAAAUACAGGAAGUUGAACACAUAAGACCGUUUGGAUGCAGAUUAGUACAAUAAACCAUGAGGAUGUGAACAUCAAA